UGUGUAGGCGGUUCUUUAAGUUUGGUGUGAAAUCUCCCGGCUUAACCGGGAGGGUGCGCCGAAUACUGAGGGACUAGAGUGCGGGAGAGGAAAGUGGAAUUCCUGGUGUAGCGGUGAAAUGCGUAGAUAUCAGGAGGAACACCGGUGGUGUAGACGGCUUUCUGGACCGUAACUGACGCUGAGACACGAAAGCGUGGGUAGCAAACAGGAUUAGAUACCCUGGUAGUCCACGCCCUAAACGAUGCAUAUUUGGUCGUGGGUCAUUCAGUUGAUCCGUGCCGGAGCUAACGCGUUAAAUAUGCCGCCUGGGGAGUACAGUCGCAAGGCUGAA
rnacentral:rRNA from 1 species